rnacentral:rRNA from 1 species
CCCUUAGAUGUUCUGGGCCGCACGCGUGCUACACUGAGUAAUUCAAUGGGUAAGAGAACGCUAGAGCAUUACCUAAUCUUGAAAUUUGCUCGUGAUGGGGAUCGACGGUUGCAAUUUUCCGUCGUGAACGAGGAAUACCUUGUAGGCGCAUGUCAUCAUCAUGCGCCGAAUACGUCCCUGCCCUUUGUACACACCGCCCGUCGCUCCUACCGAUUGAGUGAUCCGGUGAGGCUCUGGGACCUGGACGGAAAGAGCGUUUCGCUUGUUCUGUUUGGGAAACUUGGUCGAACCUUAUCAUUUAGAGGAAGGAGAAGUCGUAACA